rnacentral:rRNA from 1 species
AUUGAACGCUGGCGGCAGGCUUAACACAUGCAAGUCGAGCGGGGACUUCGGUCCUAGCGGCGAACGGGUGAGGAAUGCUUGGGAAUCUGCCCAGUAGCGGGGGAUAACGUUUCGAAAGGAACGCUAAUACCGCAUACGCCCUACGGGGGUAAGGGGGGGAUCUUCGGACCUCUCACUAUUGGAUGAGCCCAAGUCGGAUUAGCUAGUUGGUGAGGUAAAGGCUCACCAAGGCGACGAUCCGUAGCUGGUCUGAGAGGAUGAUCAGCCACAAUGGAACUGAGACACGGUCCAGACUCCUACGGGAGGCAGCAGUGGGGAAUAUUGGACAAUGGGCGAAAGCCUGAUCCAGCCAUGCCGCGUGUGUGAAGAAGGCCUUCGGGUUGUAAAGCACUUUAAGCGAGGAGGAAGGGCUCUGGGUUAAUACCUUGGAGCAUUGACGUUACUCGCAGAAUAAGCACCGGCUAACUCUGUGCCAGCCGCCGCGGUAAUAC